rnacentral:rRNA from 1 species
AUACGUAGGUGGCAAGCGUUGUCCGGAAUUAUUGGGCGUAAAGCGCAUGUAGGCGGUUUGGUAAGUCGGUCGUGAAAAUGAGGUGCUUAACGCCGUAUUGCGCUUGCAACUGCUGACAUUGAGUGCAGGAGAGGAAAGGGGUACUCCCAGUGUAGCGGUGCACUGAGUAGAUAUUGGGAAGAACACCGGUGGCGAAGGCGCCUUUCUGGACUGUGUCUGACGCUCAGAUGCGAAAGCCAGGGUAGCGAACGGGAUUAGAUACCCCGGUAGUCCUGGCCGUAAACGAUGGGUACUAGGUGUGGGAGGUAUCGACUCCUUCCGUGCCGGAGUUAACGCAAUAAGUACCCCGCCUGGGGAGUACGGCCGCAAGGCUUAAACUCAAAGGAAUUGACGGGG